GCACCCUUAGCUCAGUUGGUAGAGCAGCGCAUUUACACUGCGAAGGUCCCAGGUCCGAAUCCUGGAGGGUGCA
rnacentral:tRNA from 3 species